rnacentral:lncRNA from 1 species
CACCAGCCGGCGAUUGAUUGCUUGGGGCUGAGAGCGAGGGCGGAGGGCAGGGGAGCGCCUCUGCCGAGGGGGCGGGGCGGCGGCGGCGGCGGGGGGCCGCGACCGUUAAAGCCGUUGGAGGCGGCCGUGUGCGGGAGAGGCCCCUCAGAGCGGGCUGGCGGGGGCGUCUGGCAGGAGGUGCCGCGCUGCCAGUAAAUCUCAGGUCUGAUGGUAAACAGGCCUUCUGUGUCAGAUGGGGACUCCCGCAGUGCACUCUGCACGCCUAAAUGUGCUUGCUCCAAGAAAGGAGACUUCCUUUCCCUCUUUAAGAUGGAAUAUCCAGUAAUCGCUGCUUCAGAUCAGAUAGGCACAGUACCAAGACAGGUACAAAGGCAUUCUCUUCUUCAAAGCAUUUACAAUAAUAGACGAAGAAAUGGUGAAACAGAGCGAAGAGGAGCGUGAGAGGAGCGGAGUGCCAAGCAGCAGCGCGGAGCCGCUCCGUGGGAGCCCGGGAUCUCACACCCCCGGAAGCGCAGCCGGUUCCCAUCCACAGCCCUACCCAGCUCGGCGUAUCUGAUGUUUGCUCUUCCCAGCUGUGCAUGUGGGCAAACAAAAUUUGAAUAACUGCUGGUGGUUAAUCAGAAAAAUAUCUCUGGACACACGCUGUAAACAGCUCGAAGAGUGCGUAUGUUAAUAGACCGCAGGAAUGAAAGCCGCGCAGGCUGCCUGCGCCAAGGCGGCCUCGUUAGACACGUUAAAACGGAGACGAGAUUCCCCGCGUUUGGAAGGCAACCCGUACUGUGAGCGAUGUGCAAGCGGCUCGAAAAAAUGGAAUUAGGAUGAAAAUGAUCCCUCUCCCGCUACUGUCCUUGUGCUUCGUCUCUCCGAGCGAAAAGCAAGGCGGGUGAGAGAAAUGAGCUCGGCCAUAAACACGCUGCCGACGCAUCAAAGGCGAAAAGGAGCGGUGGGGAGACGUUGCCCUCGGCCGCUAACGCGUCGUUAUCUCCAGGGGCCUAGCAAAGUUAGACCACGGAGCACCAGGAUUAAGGGCCGAAAGCGUUUCGCAUUCGAGCGUGCGAUGUAAUGAAAGGACGCCUUGGUUUUGAGCCUAGCUGCACGAGCAGGGUGAUGGUAAAAAAGGCUCCGUCUUCUGUACGCUUCUGGUACCUGGCUGUCUUAUUACAAGAAACUGGAAAUCACUUGGCAGAAUGGAACAGGUUUACGUGCAAGACAUCAUUUCAAAGCAAAAUUUCUCUGAAACCUUGAUUUAAUAAAAAAUAAAAAAUCUGGAAAUCUUCCUUUUAA